GCAUGCCUUACACAUGCAAGUCGAACGGCAGCAUGGAGAGCUUGCUCUCUGAUGGCGAGUGGCGAACGGGUGAGUAAUGCAUCGGAACGUACCGUGUAAUGGGGGAUAACGUAGCGAAAGUUACGCUAAUACCGCAUACGACCUGAGGGUGAAAGCAGGGGAUCGCAAGACCUUGCGUUAUACGAGCGGCCGAUGUCAGAUUAGCUAGUUGGUAGAGGUAAAGGCCCACCAAGGCGACGAUCUGUAGCGGGUCUGAGAGGAUGAUCCGCCACACUGGGACUGAGACACGGCCCAGACUCCUACGGGAGGCAGCAGUGGGGAAUUUUGGACAAUGGGGGCAACCCUGAUCCAGCCAUGCCGCGUGAGUGAAGAAGGCCUUCGGGUUGUAAAGCUCUUUCGGCCGGGAAGAAAUCGCACAGGCUAAUACUCUGUGUGGAUGACGGUACCGGCAUAAGAAGCACCGGCUAACUACGUGCCAGCAGCCGCGGUAAUACGUAGGGUGCGAGCGUUAAUCGGAAUUACUGGGCGUAAAGCGUGCGCAGGCGGUUAGAUAAGUUUGAUGUGAAAUCCCCGGGCUCAACCUGGGAACUGCAUUGAAGACUGUCUGACUAGAGUACGGCAGAGGGGGGUGGAAUUCCACGUGUAGCAGUGAAAUGCGUAGAGAUGUGGAGGAACACCGAUGGCGAAGGCAGCCCCCUGGGUCGAUACUGACGCUCAUGCACGAAAGCGUGGGGAGCAAACAGGAUUAGAUACCCUGGUAGUCCACGCCCUAAACGAUGUCAACUAGUUGUUGGUAGGGUUAAACCUAUUAGUAACGUAGCUAACGCGUGAAGUUGACCGCCUGGGGAGUACGGUCGCAAGAUUAAAACUCAAAGGAAUUGACGGGGACCCGCACAAGCGGUGGAUGAUGUGGAUUAAUUCGAUGCAACGCGAAAAACCCUUACCUACCCUUGACAUGUCAGGAAUUCCCGAAGAGAUUUGGGAGUGCCGCAAGGAACCUGAACACAGGUGCUGCAUGGCUGUCGUCAGCUCGUGUUCGUGAGAUGUUGGGUUAAGUCCCGCAACGAGCGCAACCCUUGUCAUUAGUUGCCAUCAUUUAGUUGGGCACUCUAAUGAGACUGCCGGUGACAAACCGGAGGAAGGUGGGGAUGACGUCAAGUCCUCAUGGCCCUUAUGGGUAGGGCUUCACACGUCAUACAAUGGUCGGUACAGAGGGUUGCCAACCCGCGAGGGGGAGCCAAUCCCAGAAAGCCGAUCGUAGUCCGGAUCGUAGUCUGCAACUCGACUACGUGAAGUCGGAAUCGCUAGUAAUCGCGGAUCAGAAUGCCGCGGUGAAUACGUUCCCGGGUCUUGUACACACCGCCCGUCACACCAUGGGAGUGGGUUUCACCAGAAGUAGCUAGCCUAACCGUAAGGGGGGCGGUUACCACGGUGAGAUU
rnacentral:rRNA from 1 species